rnacentral:rRNA from 1 species
UGGGGAAUAUUGGACAAUGGGGGGAACCCUGAUCCAGCCAUGCCGCGUGUGUGAAGAAGGCCUUAUGGUUGUAAAGCACUUUAAGCGAGGAGGAGGGUACUGGUAUUAAUACUACCAGGUACUGGACGUUACUCGCAGAAUAAGCACCGGCUAACUCUGUGCCAGCAGCCGCGGUAAUACAGAGGGUGCAAGCGUUAAUCGGAUUUACUGGGCGUAAAGCGUGCGUAGGCGGCUGAUUAAGUCGGAUGUGAAAUCCCUGAGCUUAACUUAGGAAUUGCAUUCGAUACUGGUCAGCUAGAGUAUGGGAGAGGAUGGUAGAAUUCCAGGUGUAGCGGUGAAAUGCGUAGAGAUCUGGAGGAAUACCGAUGGCGAAGGCAGCCAUCUGGCCUAAUACUGACGCUGAGGUACGAAAGCAUGGGGAGCAAACAGG